rnacentral:misc_RNA from 1 species
UGGGUUUGACAUACACGGUUUACCGGCAGAGAUGUCGGGUCCUUUUGGGUCGUGUACAGGUGGUGCAUGGCUGUCGUCAGCUCGUGUCGUGAGAUGUUGGGUUAAGUCCCGCAACGAGCGCAACCCUUAUCCCAUGUUGCCAGCGGGUUAUGCCGGGGACUCAUGGGAGACUGCCGGGGUCAACUCGGAGGAAGGUGGGGAUGACGUCGGAGGAAUUCCA